rnacentral:lncRNA from 1 species
GCGCUGGAACGGAUACAUACGCGCUAAUAGGAUUAUUUCAUCUCUAAGAACACAUUGUUACCACCAGAGACAUGCACACAAUUGAAAAUCCUUUUCUAAAAGGUGCAACGUAUAACAAACGUAUUAUAAGCGAAUAAGUAACGAAUAAGUAACAGGGUAUUUACCGAGCGCUGGAACGGGUACAUACGCGCUUAUAUGGUUAUUUCAUC